CAGAAGGAAAUUAAUAGCAACUGAAAUGAUGAGGCUAAUGAAAUGCUAAAGAUACGUAUCACAAAGACUACAUGACCGCAAGCUGACCAUGAUGCACCACAAGGCAUGGUUCUUGUUAGCCUCUAACACAAGCUUUGGGAGAUCCAGAUUAAUCACAUGAGCAACUCCAGUUACAUCCAAUCCGCGAGAGGCAACAUCAGUGGCAACC